rnacentral:rRNA from 1 species
GUGGGGAAUAUUGGACAAUGGGGGGAACCCUGAUCCAGCCAUGCCGCGUGUGUGAAGAAGGCCUUUUGGUUGUAAAGCACUUUAAGCGAGGAGGAGGCUACCGAGAUUAAUACUCUUGGAUAGUGGACGUUACUCGCAGAAUAAGCACCGGCUAACUCUGUGCCAGCAGCCGCGGUAAUACAGAGGGUGCAAGCGUUAAUCGGAUUUACUGGGCGUAAAGCGCGCGUAGGUGGCCAAUUAAGGAGAAUGUGAAAUCCCCGAGCUUAACUUGGGAAUUGCAUUCGAUACUGGUUGGCUAGAGUAUGGGAGAGGAUGGUAGAAUUCCAGGUGUAGCGGUGAAAUGCGUAGAGAUCUGGAGGAAUACCGAUGGCGAAGGCAGCCAUCUGGCCUAAUACUGACACUGAGGUGCGAAAGCAUGGGGAGCAAACAGGAUUAGAAACCCCUGUAGUCC